GACGAACCGUGCGAACGUUGUUCGGAAUCACUGGGCUUAAAGGGCGCGUAGGCGGCUUGCCAAGUCAGGGGUGAAAUCCUGCAGCUUAACUGUAGAAGGGCCUUUGAUACUGGCGGCCUCGAGGAGGGUAGGGGCAUGCGGAACUGAUGGUGGAGCGGUGAAAUGUGUUGAUAUCAUCAGGAACUCCGGUGGCGAAAGCGGCGUGCUGGACCUUUUCUGACGCUGAGUGCGCGAAAGCCAGGGGAGCAAACGGG
rnacentral:rRNA from 1 species